rnacentral:rRNA from 1 species
AGCGAACGUUAGCGGCGGGCCUAACACAUGCAAGUCGAACGCGAAAGGUCUUCGGACUGAGUAGAGUGGCGCACGGGUGAGUAACACGUAGGUAAUCUACCCUUUGGCGGGGGAUAACGUUCCGAAAGGAGCGCUAAUACCGCAUAAGACCACGGAGUCUCCGGACGCUGUGGGAAAAGGUGGCCUCUUCUUGAAAGCUACCACCGAAGGAUGAGCCUGCGUCCCAUCAGCUAGUUGGUAAGGUAAUGGCUUACCAAGGCGAAGACGGGUAGCUGGUUUGAGAGAAUGAUCAGCCACACUGGCACUGGAACACGGGCCAGACUCCUACGGGAGGCAGCAGUGAGGAAUAUUGGGCAAUGGGCGAAAGCCUGACCCAGCCACGCCGCGUGAGUGAUGAAGGCCCUCGGGUCGUAAAGCUCUGUGGAGAGGGACGAAAACCCUGGUUUCAAAUAGGCUCCAGGCUUGACGGUACCUCUUUAGCAAGCACCGGCUAACUCUGUGCCAGCAGCCGC